rnacentral:rRNA from 1 species
UACGAAGGGGGCUAGCGUUGCUCGGAAUCACUGGGCGUAAAGCGCACGUAGGCGGGUCUUUAAGUCGGGGGUGAAAUCCUGGAGCUCAACUCCAGAACUGCCUUCGAUACUGAGGAUCUCGAGUCCGGGAGAGGUGAGUGGAACUCCGAGUGUAGAGGUGAAAUUCGUAGAUAUUCGGAAGAACACCAGUGGCGAAGGCGGUUCACUGGCCCGGUACUGACGCUGAGGUGCGAAAGCGUGGGGAGCAAACAGG